rnacentral:rRNA from 1 species
AAAGUCGUAACAAGGUUUCCGUAGGUGAACCUGCGGAAGGAUCAUUACUGAAUUGUCAACAUGGGUUGUUGCUGGUCCUCAAACGGGGGCACGUGCACGCUCUGUUCACACAUCCACUCACACCUGUGCACCCACUGUAGUUCUGUGGCCUGGGGGACCUGUCCCCCUUGCUGUGGUUCUAUGUCUUUACACACACACCGUARCAAAGUCUUAUGGAAUGUAUACCGCGUCUAACGCAUUACAAUACAACUUUCAGCAACGGAUCUCUUGGCUCUCGCAUCGAUGAAGAACGCAGCGAAAUGCGAUAAGUAAUGUGAAUUGCAGAAUUCAGUGAAUCAUCGAAUCUUUGAACGCACCUUGCGCCCUUUGGCUAUUCCGAAGGGCAUGCCUGUUUGAGUAUCAUGAACACCUCAACUCUCGCGGCUUGCCGUGAUGAGCUUGGACUUUGGGGGUCUUGCUGGCCUAUGGUCGGCUCCUCUCAAAUGGAUCAGCUUGCCAGUGUUUGGUGGCAUCGCAGGUGUGAUAACUAUCUACGCUUGUGGUCUCCCACCAGGUAACCCUCAGCAAUGGGGGUUCGCUGGAGCUCAUAAAUGUCUCUCCUCAGUGAGGACAGCUUUUGAACGUUUGAUCUCAAAUCAGGUAGGACUACCCGCUGAACUUAAGCAUAUCAAUAAGCGGAGGAAAAGAAACUAACAAGGAUUCCCCUAGUAACUGCGAGUGAAGCGGGAAGAGCUCAAAUUUAAAAUCUGGCGUGCCUCUGGUCGUCCGAG